AUCGUUCAUCCUCUUAAAGAGGACGCAAGUAAGCCGACUCGGAACGGAAU
rnacentral:ncRNA from 2 species